rnacentral:tmRNA from 1 species
GCCCUUUAAAUGCCCGUCCCGCCGGCCUAUAUUCCGGAUGUCCCUUCGGGGACUAUGGACAUAAACGCGCUCAUAAUAAGCGGAUCGGACCCGGGGGCGGUACCCGGCGGCUCCACCAAAAACCCUCGUUGGGGGACCAUGGGGCCGAAACAGGAUCGACGAACGUGUAAAAGGGUAGCUUUGUCCCGGUGAGGUACCACCGUUAUCGGUCCGUAAAGCAUAAUUGCCAACGACAAUCGUGCUCCGGUCGCCGUUGCUGCGUAAGCGGUAACAAGACCGAAACUUGAAGCCCUUGCGCCUAGCCGCGUAAGGCGGGGUUCGCAGGCACCUGGCAACAGAAGCCUGCACU